GACCACUCAAAAUAAUUCGGCUUCAAAGCAAGGAAAAGGCAGGGCGCAGCAUCAUUCGACCUCUUUUUGGACCGUUUAAGAACAGGAGACCCGAAAGCUCUGAAAUCAGAUGACUAGAAGAGCAGCCAUGCUUUGGUGUUGAGAGAAUCAUACCGAGGAGAAGUCCCCAACGAGAGCGUCAAAUCAUCUUUUCUCCAUAGAUCCCCGAAAAUAGAAGGAGAAAUCUAGGAGAGCAACCGACUGAGGGGAUAUAUGGAGACAGUUUUUUUCUAACAAGCGAGAAACAAAUAACACUCUGGUUAAAAAAAUUUUUACAGUGUUUAUGUAUUUGGAUUAUACCUCGAUGGCUGCUCACGUUUUAAAUAUGACGACUGUUUUUUAUGUUUUAAAUACAAAAUUUUAAAUUUUAAUAUAAUUUAGGGUGCACAUGCCGCCACACCCUAUAACCUGCCUUCGCCACUGUCCGUAACUCGUAGCUUAAUGUAGUGCAUUUUUUUUUGCUUAAUUGUAGUGCAUUUUUUUUUACAUGGCAGUUUGCAGAAAGAGCGUGAAACCUUAGAAAAAUCCAGUGUAAACUCGUAACGUAAAUGUUAUUUAUAUCCAGUAGUUCUCAAAAAAAUGUUACUUACACUAAAACUUUUAUAGAAGGCAGGCGAUAAAGCACAUAAAUUUAAUUAAAUGUUUUAUUCUUGAAAUAAUAUGAACAGUUUAUUUUAAUUCAUGUUUGAAGUCAUAGCUAGCACUGUUUCAGGCAUUUCAAUAGAAGAAUCUUUUGUCAAAAAGAAUAUCUAAUUUUGAAAAACAUAAAAAAAUAAGUAUAGAGCUAAAUUAUUGAAUAAACUAUAGGUUAACACAAGGUUCUUGCAUUGCAACCCUUCGAAUCAUCUAUAAACGAUACAGAAAAAAGCAAAAAAUGUUCUUUCGGAGACUCCGGUCUCAUGUGAUAAAGGCAUACAUGGAGAGGUCAAAAGAAUCAAAACCAAUAAGAUAUGUUGUGAUUGUUUUUUUCUUUUCCUUUUUUUGAUAGAGAAAUUGGAUUGUAUAUCACAAAAUAAAAUUAUAAUUCAGUUUAUGACUAUUUGACCUAAUCUGCUAGGAUACAUCGUGUGUAAUAUGUAUAAAUGCAAUUAUGCCCCCAUGAUUAACCGGUUUCACCGUCUGCAUUAAAAUUAAAUAAAUAUAUAAACCUAUUUUUACUUUAUUGAGUUUUUACGUCGUGUAACUUCCCUGACCUUUCAUUUUUAACACAAGGGAAGUAACUUCCGCUUAUCUUCUCCUCUAAGAUUAAUUUCACGGCAUCUCUCACAACUCCGGGGAAAGUCGUCGACAAUCAUUCCGGUGUCGGUGAAGGGCGUCGGUAAUUGCUUGCGUAUAAGGCGGAUUGAAGCUCGAAAACUUCGAAAAGGUUUCUUCUUCCGAAACGUCAAGCCAGAGAAUCGUCGAGGAUUUGAAGUUCGAAAAGGCUCGCAAUGGAAGAGUUGGAACUGCCAAGCAGAUUGUACAAAUACUAUUCCAUUAUGUGGACCAGUAGUUAUACUGUUGAAUGAAGUUAUAAGCAUAUACAUUCCCCAACAUUUAUUAUCAUAUGAUUAGAGAACUAUUACCUGAUCGAUGCGGUUAAGCAUUAACUUCUUCUUUGUGUUCACCUUCUUCAGUUAAGCAUUAACUUCUUCUUUGUGUUCACCUU